rnacentral:rRNA from 1 species
UACGAAGGGAGCUAGCGUUGUUCGGAAUUACUGGGCGUAAAGGGCGCGUAGGCGGCUUGGCAAGUUGGGUGUGAAAGCCCAGGGCUCAACCCUGGAAUUGCAUUCAAGACUGCCUUGCUUGAAUUCGGUAGAGGUUGGUGGAAUUCCCAGUGUAGAGGUGAAAUGCGUAGAGAUUGGGAAGAACACCCGUGGCGAAGGCGGCCAUCUGGACCGUCCUUGACGCUGAGGCGCGAAAGUGUGGGGAUCAAACAGG